rnacentral:rRNA from 1 species
UACGGAGGGUGCAAGCGUUGUUCGGAAUUAUUGGGCGUAAAGGGCGUGUAGGUGGCUUUUCAAGUCCGGUGUGAAAUCCCACGGCUCAACCGUGGAACUGCAUUGGAAACUGGAUGGCUCGAGGGUUGGAGGGGGUCGCGGAAUUCCCGGUGUAGAGGUGAAAUUCGUAGAUAUCGGGAGGAACACCAGUGGCGAAGGCGGCGACCUGGCCAAUCACUGACACUGAGACGCGAAAGCGUGGGGAGCAAACAGG